UACGUAGGGACCAAGCGUUGUUCGGAUUUACUGGGCGUAAAGGGCGCGUAGGCGGCGCGGUAAGUCACUUGUGAAAUCUCUGAGCUUAACUCAGAACGGCCAAGUGAUACUGCAGUGCUAGAGUGUGGAAGGGGCAAUCGGAAUUCUUGGUGUAGCGGUGAAAUGCGUAGAUAUCAAGAGGAACACCGGUGGCGAAGGCGGGUCUCUGGGCAGUAACUGACGCUGAGGAGCGAAAGCGUGGGGAGCGAACAGG
rnacentral:rRNA from 1 species